rnacentral:lncRNA from 1 species
UCCAGAGGUUUUUUUUUUUUUUUUUUUUUUCAUUUUUUCCAGAGCAGUAUAAUAACGUACUAGUAUAUCUUAUAUAAUACAAUGUUUUGAUAUAUCAGAGUUAUCAUUGUAUAAUUGAUAUCUAUUAUAUAAUUAUAUAAUAUUGAAUAGUCAGCAUUGUGUGUGGGUGUGUGUGUGUUUGUUUACAUUGUUAUUUCCUCUGUAAAACACACACACACCCUCGGCACUGGCACGCCAAGUGAUGGGACAUCUGACCUGGUGCCACAAUGAUGGUCAUUCAGCGAGGAGAUAAUAGGCAUCUGUCCGCGGGCCGGGAUGUGCCGCCCAGCUUCUGGCAGGUAGGAAUGGAAGUGCCGGCCUGUGGAUGUAAACAUGUGAUUUCCUGCCCAGUAUAAGAGCCCAGCUGACCGGCACUGCCCAGUCCAGCAGACCAUCCACCACCAGUACCACCACCACUCCACCACAGCCGGACUGACCGCUCCACCACUCCACCACCACUCAGCACUCCAGGAUGAGAGCCGGGGUCUCUGUACUGGUCUUACUGGCGUUUGCAGGGUUGGAGAGUGUUCUCUCUGCAUCUCUGGAAGCCGUGGGAAAGAAGGGAGCACUCGAUCGCAAAGCAGAGGAGAAUGCCCACCCUCAGAGAAGAGUGCUUUCUGCAUCACUGGAGGCAGAUGAAGAGAGGGAUGCUCUGAAACAAAGAGCUGAGGGAAACUACGGCCCUCUGAAAGGAGUGCUCUCUGCAUCUCUGGAGGCAGAUGAAGACAGAACUGAGGGAAACUACGGCCCUCGACAAAGAGGUUUAGUGCUUUCUGCAUCAAUGGAGGCAGACGAAGAGAGGGAUGCUCUCAGACAGAGAGAGGGCGUGAUUAUAGAGGAUGAAACCUACCUGGAGGCUGAAAGAGAGGAGUUAGAGGAUGAGGCAGAAGCUGCAGAGCAGAGGCACGAGCACGAGGCCGAGGCUGCAGAUGUGACUCCAGAAGAGGAGGCUGAUGAUCUGACAGAAGCGGAAGUGGAAGGAGCUGCUGAGAGUCACGAGCAACGGGAAGCGAAGGAGGACAGAAAAAUGGAUGAUGAGGCUGAAGACGGGGUGGGACACGCAGCAGCUUCAGAGGAAUGAUGCGGAGGAUGCUGGGUAGAGGGGGGAACGCCUGUGCCUGGAGUCGUGUUGUCCACCACAGAAGUAAACGAGGAGUGUACUGUUCUCAAUAAAAGAACCAUUAAAUACUGUACCA